rnacentral:rRNA from 1 species
CCUACGGGGGGCUGCAGUAAGGAAUAUUGGUCAAUGGACGCAAGUCUGAACCAGCCAUGCCGCGUGGAGGAUUAAGGCCCUCUGGGUUGUAAACUCCUUUUAUCUGGGAAGAAAUGUACUUUUUCUUGAGUACUUGACGGUACCAUAGGAAUAAGCACCGGCUAACUCCGUGCCAGCAGCCGCGUUAAUACGGAGGGUGCAAGCGUUAUCCGGAUUCACUGGGUUGAAGGGGGGCGUGUAAGUCCGUGGAGAAAUCUCCGGGCUUAACCCGGAAACUGCCGUUGAUACUAUGUGUCUUGAAUAUUGUGGAGGUAAGCGGAAUAUGUCAUGUAGCGGUGAAAUGCUUAGAUAUGACAUAGAACACCAAUUGCGAAGGCAGCUUACUACACAAGCAUUGACGCUGAGGCACGAAAGCGUGGGGAUCAAACAGGAUUAGAUACCCGUGUAGUC